rnacentral:rRNA from 1 species
GACGAACGCUGGCGGCGUGCCUGACACAUGCAAGUCAACUUGAGGGAAGGAGCAAUCUGACCUGAUGGUGGCGCAAGGGUGCGUAACGCGUAGGUAACUUGCCCAAGGUAAGGAAUAACGUCGAGAAAUCGGCGCUAAUACCUCAUAAUGCAGCGGAUCCGCAUGGAUAUGUUGUUAAAGGUUUACCACCUUGGGAUAGGCUUGCGUCUGAUUAGCUAGUUGGUGUGGUAAUGGCACACCAAGGCUACGAUCAGUAACUGGUCUGAGAGGAUGAUCAGUCACACUGGAACUGAGACACGGUCCAGACUCCUACGGGAGGCAGCAGUGAGGAAUAUUGGGCAAUGCACGAAAGUGUGACCCAGCAACGCCGCGUGGAGGAUGAAGGUAUUCUAUAUCGUAAACUCCUGUGAGAGCAGACGAAAGACAGAUUAUAAUUUGGAUGACUGUAUGCUCAGAGGAAGCCCCGG